ACUCGGCUGUGCGGCGGGGCAGGCAUGGGAGCCGCGCGCUCUCUCCCGGCGCCCACACCUGUCUGAGCGGCGCAGCGAGCCGCGGCCCGGGCGGGCUGCUCGGCGCGGCCAGGACUUGAACUUGCUGUCUCUGUGUUUCAUCUACUUCAGAUGGCUCCCUAAUGAGUAGAAUGAGACCUGUGUGCCAACCCUGGCCUAGUCCUCAUGCCCCCACAACUGUGAAGCGAGAGGGCUCAACAGUUUCGAAUUCAAUUCAACCACCACCUCCUGAAUACCAACUAGGUUCCAGGACCUGGCUAGAAGCAGAGACACCAGGACAGAAAAGAUAGUGUUCUGCCUUCAUGGAGUUCACAGAAGAGUCGAGGAGACACAGCUGGAUCCUCCCUGUUUACCCCAGUGGAUGCUAAAUGCUUUGGUGAAGAGGAGACAUCCCUGCACAAAGCAGAGCUGUGGAUUCUCUGACCUCCUUGAAGACUCUCUUCUGAGCUGCAGUGGACAUUUGCCAUAUUUUUAUUAAUGGGUGUCUGUCAUCAAAUAUCCCUCUGUAAGGGUUGGUCACUGUUGUG
rnacentral:sRNA from 1 species